rnacentral:tRNA from 1 species
GCCUUCGUGGUGUAAUGGUCAGCACACUCGGCGCCUAUUCGGGAGGUCCGAGGUUCGAGUCUCGGCGAGGGCA